UGAAUACGAGACGCUAAGGCGUCGAAGUAGUGUAUGUCAUACUUCCAAGAAAAGCUUGCACUGUCAUAGAUAAAAAACGCCUGUACCAUAACCGACACAGGUGGGUAGGUAGAGUAUACUAAGGGGCGCGAGAUAACUCUCUCUAAGGAACUCGGCAAAAUAACUCCGUAACUUCGGGAGAAGGAGUGCCUUAUUUAUAAGGCUGCAAUAACAAGAUCCAAGCAACUGUUUAUCAAAAACACAGGUCUCCGCUAAGUCGUAAGACGAUGUAUGGGGGCUGACGCCUGCCCAGUGCCAGAAGGUUAAAGAAGUUGGUUAGCUUUUGCGAAGCUGAUAACUGAAGCCCUGGUGAACGGCGGCCGUAACGAUAACGGUCCUAAGGUAGCGAAAUUCCUUGUCGGGUAAGUUCCGACCCGCACGAAAGGCGUAAUGAUUUGGAUACUGUCUCGGAGAGGGGCUCGGUGAAAUAGACUUGUCUGUGAAGAUGCGGACUACCUGCACCAGGACAGAAAGACCCUAUGAAGCUUUACUGUAACUUGAAAUUGAAAUUGGACUUUAUUCGCGCAGCAUAGGUGGGAGGCGUUGAUUAUAAUCUCGUGGGAUUAUUGGAGCCAUCAGUGAGAUACCACUCUUGUAAUGUUAGAUUUCUAACUUUGAAUCAUUAUCUGGUCAAAGAACAGUUUCAGGCGGGCAGUUUGACUGGGGCGGUCGCCUCCUAAACGGUAACGGAGGCGUACAAAGGUUUCCUCUGAACGGUUAGAAAUCGUAUCUAGAGUGUAAAGGCAUAAGGAAGCUUGACUGUGAGACCUACAAGUCGAGCAGGGACGAAAGUCGGUCUUAGUGAUCUGACGGUACUGAGUGGAAAGGCCGUCACUCAACGGAUAAAAGUUACUCUAAGGAUAACAGGCUGAUCUCCCCCAAGAGUUCACAUCGACGGGGAGGUUUGGCACCUCGAUGUCGGCUCAUCGCAUCCUGGGGCGGUAGUACGUCCCAAGGGUUGGGCUGUUCGCCCAUGAAAGCGGUACGCGAGCUGGGUUCAGAACGUCGUGAGACAGUUCGGUCCAUAUCCGGCGUAGGCGUUAGAAUAUUGAGAGGAGCCUUCUUUAGUACGAGAGGACCGAGAAGGACAUACCUCUGGUGUACCAGUUAUCGUGCCAACGGUAAACGCUGGGUAGCUAUGUAUGGAGUGGAUAACCGCUGAAAGCAUCUAAGUGGGAAGCCCACCUCAAGAUAAGUAUUCCC
rnacentral:rRNA from 1 species